rnacentral:rRNA from 1 species
CAUUGGAUUGAGAACAAUGUACAACUCUUAUCGAUAAGCCAUUGGAGGGCAAGUCUGGUGCCAGCAGCCGCGGUAAUUCCAGCUCCAAUAGCGUAUAUUAACGUUGUUGCAGUUAAAAAGCUCGUAGUUGAAGUGUGGGUGAUCGCUGUUGUGAGACUUCGGUCUCUCGACAGUAAGUCACCCCCUUCCAGUAUCCAGUAGUGGGUAUUCAGUUACUUACUAUUGUGUGUUGGUCCUUUACUGUGAGAAAAUUAGAGUGUUCAAAGCAGGCGUUUGCUUGAAUAGAUUAGCAUGGAAUAAUAAUUGAAGGCUUUCGUGUUCGAUUUGAUUGGUUUGUUCAUGGAAGCAAGGUUAAAAGGAACAGUUGGGGGUAUUCAUAUUCACUAGUUAGAGGUGAAAUUCUCGGAUUUAUGGAAGAUGAACAAGUGCGAAAGCAA